rnacentral:rRNA from 1 species
UACGAAGGGGGCUAGCGUUGCUCGGAAUGACUGGGCGUAAAGGGCGCGUAGGCGGUUUGUACAGUCAGGUGUGAAAUUCCCGGGCUCAACCUGGGGGCUGCACUUGAUACGUAUGACUGGAGUGGGGAAGAGGGUCGUGGAAUUCCCAGUGUAGAGGUGAAAUUCGUAGAUAUUGGGAAGAACACCGGUGGCGAAGGCGGCGACCUGGUCCUUGACUGACGCUGAGGCGCGAAAGCGUGGGGAGCAAACAGG